ensembl:lncRNA
AUGGGACUGACCACUAUGGCUGGAGGGAGGAUAGACUCAAGUUCAGCGGGCACAUCAGGGUAGUAGAUAAGUGAGAGGGAGUUGGCCUUCACAUUACAGUCUCCAGGGUGAUAGGUGAUGGUGAAUUUAAAUCUUGUGAAGAAGCAGUUUGUAAGUGUUUUUGCCUCGUUUUCUCAUUAGACUACUGCGUGAUCAUCGUUGCUAGGGAAACUUUGCUUUAAUUACUGUGUGUCUUACCCUGGUAAAUACGUGUGAAUUGUGGCGUUUGGUUUUGCGUUUGCCUAUCGCGGGACUGGACAGUUUCGGUCUGCUAAAUAGGGAGGCGUGACAAUAGCCAGUAAGCCGGUAAAAAGUACUUAAAGAGCUGUUCUGUAAGCGCUUGUCAGAAGAAACAGUCGAGCGACAGAGAAGGACAGCAGUUUGUAAGUGUUUUUGCCUCGUUUUCUCAUUAGACUACUGCGUGAUCAUCGUUGCUAGGGAAACUUUGCUUUAAUUACUGUGUGUCUUACCCUGGUAAAUACGUGUGAAUUGUGGCGUUUGGUUUUGCGUUUGCCUAUCGCGGGACUGGACAGUUUCGGUCUGCUAAAUAGGGAGGCGUGACAAUAGCCAGUAAGCCGGUAAAAAAGUACUUAAAGAGCUGUUCUGUAAGCGCUUGUCAGAAGAAACAGUCGAGCGACAGAGAAGGACAGCAGUUUGUAAGUGUUUUUUUGCCUCGUUUUUCUCAUUAGACUACUGCGUGAUCAUCGUUGCUAGGGAAACUUUGCUUUAAUUACUGUGUGUCUUACCCUGGUAAAUACGUGUGAAUUGUGGCGUUUGGUUUUGCGCUUUGCCUAUCGCGGGACUGGACAGUUUCGGUCUGCUAAAUAGGGAGGCGUGACAAGCUGACUUCAAUCACAGGUAAUCAGGCAAAUAUAUAAGUGGUAGGUGUCAGCGGUCGCGGCAGCCCUCGUGUGAAGCCUCCUCGUGUGAAGACCGACGAGUGUAAAGACCAUCGACUCUACCUGCGCGACUCCACCGAGCAAGGACACCGACAGGGCACUUGAGUAUUGCUUUUCUCGCCUUCAUUUUUUGUACAGCUCAUCCUCAAAUACUUAUUUUUGGACACUUGUAUUCACUAUGUGCUUUCAGAUCUCUACUAUCACUACUAACACUGGAGAGCUUCAGGACGCGCAAACGGGGGAAGCGAGCUGGUGCGCUCGUUAGACUCAGGAAGCGCGGAUUUCGAACGCCGUUGCCUAGCAUCCAUCUGGCAAAUCUCCGCUCUCUACCCAACAAAACGGACGAAAUCCUUCUGCUCUCUCAGACAAAUAAGGAUUUCUCACACUCUGCUGCUCUGUGUUUCACGGAAACCUGGCUCAAUGACGCCAUACUGGACAGCGCGCUCCAUCUGCCGGGCUUUCAGCUGUUCAGAGCGGAUCGCGACGCAGAAUCAACGGGGAAAUCGCGCGGCGGCGGGACAUGCUUUUACAUCAAUGAACGGUGGUGUACAG